GGUGAACCGCGGAAGGAUCAUUA
rnacentral:rRNA from 1 species